GAGUUUGAUCCUGGCUCAGGACGAACGCUGGCGGCGCGCCUAACACAUGCAAGUCGAACGAGCGAGAGAGAGCUUGCUUUCUCGAGCGAGUGGCGAACGGGUGAGUAACGCGUGAGGAACCUGCCUCAAAGAGGGGGACAACAGUUGGAAACGACUGCUAAUACCGCAUAAGCCCACGGCUCGGCAUCGAGCAGAGGGAAAAGGAGUAAUCCGCUUUGAGAUGGCCUCGCGUCCGAUUAGCUAGUUGGUGAGGUAACGGCCCACCAAGGCGACGAUCGGUAGCCGGACUGAGAGGUUGAACGGCCACAUUGGGACUGAGACACGGCCCAGACUCCUACGGGAGGCAGCAGUGGGGAAUAUUGCACAAUGGGGGAAACCCUGAUGCAGCGACGCCGCGUGGAGGAAGAAGGUCUUCGGAUUGUAAACUCCUGUUGUUGGGGAAGAUAAUGACGGUACCCAACAAGGAAGUGACGGCUAACUACGUGCCAGCCGCCGCGGUAAUUC
rnacentral:rRNA from 1 species